rnacentral:misc_RNA from 1 species
AAGUCGUAACAAGGUUUCCGUAGGUGAACCUGCGGAAGGAUCAUUAAUGAAAUGUAAGGACGUUCUUUUUAGAAGUCCGACCCAAUUCAUUUUCUUACACUGUGCACAAACUACUUUUUACACCAUUUUUAACACAUAAGUCUAAGAAUGUAAAUAGUCUCUUAAUUGAGCAUAACAAAUCAAAA